rnacentral:lncRNA from 1 species
GAUCAUGGGAGCCCCUGACGUCAGGUCCAAGGGCAGAGAGAGCGAGCAAGUCCAGGGCCUGAAGUGAGGACCGGCGACAGGGCUGAAGGCUCGGGGUGCAAGACGGUGACUAGGACCGUCCUCGGGGGUGCGGAGAGCACAGCAAGCAAGGUGGCAUUGAAAGCCAGGCCCGGUGGCGCGCUCCUGUCAUCCCAGUGGCUCGGGAGGCUGAGGCAGGAGGAUCGCGAGUUCAAACCCGGCCUCAGCAAAAUCGAAGUACCAAGCAACUCAGGGAGACCCUGUCACUAAAUAAAAUACAAAAAAGGGCCGGGGAUGUGGCUCAGUGGUUAACUGGGUUCAAGCCCCAUACCAAAAAAAAUAAAAAAAGAUUGCACUUAACGUACCAGAAUGUCUAGGGAGUGCACGGUGAGCAACAGCUGGAUUUUAUUUGUGGAUUUUUACAAACCUUCUAUGGUGAAUGUCAUCCCUUUUAAUCAAGAGGAAAUGCUUUUCUUAAGCUCCUUAUUUUGCAAUAGAUUUAGAAUUUUAAGAAGACACUGUGACAGAGAUGGUACAGGGGUCCCUGUUCCCUCCACUCGGUUCCCCUCAGGUUAACACCUGUCAGAACCAAGAAAUCAGCAGGACACGUUGCUACCAACUCAACCCCAGGGUUUAUUUGGAUUUCACCAGUUUACCCUCUCACGCCUUCUUCUUGUUCCAAGAGCCAGUUCUCCAUCUGCUCCGUCUUCCUGGGUCUGACGGUUGCCCAAUCUUUCCUUGGUUUUUGAGACUAUGCUGAUUUUACAAAUAUCAGACAAGUACUCUGGGAUUUUGGUCUGUCCCAUGUUUUCUCAGGAUCAGAGGGAGAUGGUGGAUUCUGGGAAGAAAGCUCCCUGAGAGGAGGCGCCCUUUCUGCUCCGUCACAGUGGAGCUCAGGAGGUCCUGCGCCAUCCCUGAGGACGUGUGCCUGUGUGUCUGCGGCUUCUCCACCGCCAGUUACUCUUUCUCCUUCUCUGUGAUCUACUUUAGAAGAGCGACCCAGGUCCAGCCCGAGCCCAGGGGUCGGGGUCAGCUCCGCCUGCUUUAGAAUCAGGAGCAUCCGCACAUAGUAUUUCAAGUCCUAUGGAAGACAGCCAUCUCCUUUGCCUCCUUUUAAGUAUUUAUCCCGCCAUUUAUGUCUACCAGCAUGGACUCAUAGAUAUACCCUGAGUGAUGGUCCAAUACCACACUGUGUAUGUGGUUGCUCAAAUUUGCUCAAGGGGAAUCCUGGUUCUUUUUAUUGGGGGUUGGUAUCUGGAAACCAUGGUAUGUGCCGGCUGUGCCUGUGGAUGAGAAACUUUUUGUAAGCUGGGUGCUGUGGUGCACGCCUGUCAUCCCAGCAGCUUAGGAGGCUGAGGCAGGAGGACCACAGGUUCAAAACUAGCCUCAGCAAAAGUGAGGCACUAAGCAACUCGGUGAGACCCUGUCUCUGAAAUACAAAAUAGGGCUGGGGAUGGGGCUCCGU